AUUUUUUGCCCUAAGGCAAUGAGGUUAUCCUGAUGCUGAGGAAUCUAUGGCAAAUUUUCCUUUCUCCCUCAAACUAUCCUGUCAACCUUUUCAUAUUAGAAGGCAGAGAAUGGAAAAUACACAUAUACAUUCUCCUUUAAAAAAAAAAAAAUACAAGGAGCCUUGAGAAAUGGACAUGAUCCGUGUAUUUCUUGACCUCUGAGAUACCAUGGCUAAUCCCAACCAACGUGCAGAAAUACUGCUUCUGGAAGUUCCAUUUGCCUCCAUUCUGAGUGCUUAUUAACCCUGAAACUUUUGUCAGCUCAGGAAAAAGCAAAAGGUUCUAAACUAACUGGCUGCACAGUGGCACACCCUUGUUCACCUCCUCACUGGGCUCCUGGGCCUCCAACUUCUGCCCUUCAGGUUCUAGAUGGAAUCUCGCUCUUGUCUGCCAGGCUGGAGUACAAUGGCGCGACCUUGGCUCACUGCAACCUCCACCUCCUGGGUUCGAGUGAUUCUCCUGCCUCAGCCUCCUGAGUAGCUGGGAUUACAGGCGCCCACCACCAUGCUCGGCUAAUUUUUGUGUUUUUAGUAGAGAUGGGGUUUCACCAUGUUGGCCAGGCUGGUCUUGAACUCCUGACCUCAGGUGAUCUGCCCACAUCAGCCUCCUUAAAAAUAAAAUUCUAAGGCCCCCGACCAUCUGAAUGGACCCCUCCUCUCAGCCAAGGGCAUUCCAAAGUUAACCUGGAAAAUUAGUUCAGGCCACAAUGGGAACAGGAGUUGUACAUGCCCCAUUAUACCCUCCUCCCUGUGGAAUUCAGGCACAACUGACCAGCAUUAACAUCAAAAAAGAGAUCUUAAGACUGUAGCAAUAAGACACCAAAUUCCAGCCUGACUCUAAUAUAGCAUCACAUGACAACAGGCCCUGAAGAAAUCAAAAUACUCUAUUCUUUUACUCACAUAUUUUGAAAUGGCCCUGCAAAACUAUCUCUUGUGGGGGAAAUCUACAUUCAGUAGAGAAUCCCUUUCCCUUUCCACAUCUUUUCCCUGAUCCAGGAGAGAAUUAACUAAGAGUCUGGCACCUUUUAAGUCUGAUAAGAAACAUUUACUAUCUACUCUUUCUGAAGCCUGCUACCUGGAGACUUCAUCUGCAUAAUAAGAACCUUGGUCUCCAUAACCCCUUAUCUUAACUCAGAUAGUCCCUUCUAUGGAUUCCAUACUUUUAGAUAAACUCUUUUAAUCAAUUGCCCUGGGAAAAUCUUUGAAUGCACCUGUGACCUGAAAGUUCUCCUCCCCACACCUCUUCGAGUUGUCCUGCCUUUCCAGACCUGACCAAUGUACAUCUUAGAUAUUAAUUGAUGUCUUAUUUCUCCCUAACAUAUAUAAAACCAAGCUGUAGCCUGACCACCUUGGGCACAUGUCGUCAGGACCUCCUGAGGCAUGUCCUUAUUCUCGGCAAAAUAC
rnacentral:lncRNA from 1 species